AACGAACGCUGGCGGCAUGCCUAACACAUGCAAGUCGAACGAGACCUUCGGGUCUAGUGGCGCACGGGUUCGUAACGCGUGGGAACCUGCCCUUAGGUUCGGAAUAACUCCCCGAAAGGGGUGCUAAUACCGGAUAAUGUCUUCGGACCAAAGAUUUAUCGCCUUUGGAUGGGCCCGCGUUGGAUUAGCUAGUUGGUAGGGUAAAAGCCUACCAAGGCGACGAUCCAUAGCUGGUCUGAGAGGAUGAUCAGCCACACUGGGACUGAGACACGGCCCAGACUCCUACGGGAGGGAGCAGUGGGGAAUAGUGGAAAAUGGGGGAAAGCAUGAUCCAGCAAGGCCGCGUGAGUGAUGAAGGCCUUAGGGUUGUAAAGCUCUUUUACCCGGGAUGAUAAUGACAGUACCGGGAGAAUAAGCUCCGGCUAACUCCGUG
rnacentral:rRNA from 1 species